AUAGUAGUAUUACUCGAAGUAUAAAAAAAAAACUACUGGCCAGUAGCAACUAAGGAACUACUACCACAGUGUAGUAGGGCUGCUGACUUUCAAAUGAAAGACAGUAGGGCUACCACCUAAUGAAAGGCAGUAGGGCUACCACCUAAUGAAAGGUAGUAGGAUCUCCUGCUGACUAUCACAAUGAAAGACAGUAGGAAGUGGAUGACCAGUUUCCCGACCAUGCACUACAGCUCCGGAGCCCCGGUUUAUAACCCACACGCUACAUGGGUGAACUGCAACAAGUCAAAAACGUAGGAGGAAGGGGAUCUUUUAGCCUCGAUCUCAGGCCGCACUGAAGAUGAGGCCUAGUACUAUACUAUAGCUGUAGUAUAUAUUAAAUAGUAGCUCUCUGAGCUGAGGAAGAGACACAGAAAAAACUGAUUAUAACGUACUUGGUUGGGUAUCAGGUAAAGUGCUACGAUCGAAAGAGUGAAAUAAUACAGCAAACAGAGAAGAGGCCUAAUCCAAGCUCUCUAUUGUGUGUGUGGCUGACUGGUACAUGGUGUCAGUUCUCAGUGAGCGCCCCCUCAAGGUUCAAGGUCUGGGGGGGUUAAGUUCUGGGGUUCAUGGUUGCCUGCUAGGGGGUCAACGGAGGUGUAUCAGAAAUCAGCAGAAAACUGUUCCCUCCCUCCUCAUAAAGCUACCACUGUUUGGUGGAGGUCAGCCUUGAUGAAAAAAACGAAGAAGAAACUCUCUAUCUUCUCUCGUUUAUGUCCAUAGGGAAGCAAGGACUCGACCUGUAU